rnacentral:lncRNA from 1 species
ACUAAGCCAAUAAAUAAAAUAAUAAUAAUUAUAUUUUUUCCUGACAUUUCAGAAAACAAGGGGGAUUGCAAUGAAAAUAACCUAAAUAAAUACACUCUGCCGUUGGAUUUGCUAUUACCAUUCUUAUCUUGGAUCCAAUGGUUAAAUUACAAAACGACAAAAAAAGUGAUAUGUUGCAACUGUUGCAACAUAGGCGGACCCCAUUUUCCUUCUUGUUAUUAUUUUUCAUUUUUCACAACUGUCUUUGUUGGACCAUUCAUCUUUCUUUUUUAUUUUAACGGCUUCGAGUUUUUGACAAUUUCUGUUCAGAGUUGCCUGCGUACGCGCCCGUCGCUCCACAGCGCGUGAAUGCCAUUUCCUCCCUUGUUUUUGUUUUUGUUUUUGUUUUUUUUCCAUUUUCACGUCAAUAUUCAAAGAUGUCAACCACUAAUUAUGGAUAAAUUUAUAUUAAAGGUUAAUUUUUGAGCAGUGACAUCCAAAUUUUUAUCUGAACUGUUAUGUUUUUAUUGAAUGAUGAAUUUAUAAUUAGUAAAAUUAUAAUUAGAUUAUCCAAUGAAUAAAUAUUACAUUUAGAUAAAAAAAAAUUGAGGAAUGGGGAUAAAUAAGUAUAAUUGUCAUUUAACAAAACUGAUAGGGGUAGAAAAGUCAGUUGAUUAUUGGUAUCUAGCUGCUUGCUUUCCCAAAAGGAUAUUUAAAUUAUUUUUUUAUGCUAAUUGGUUCAUUUUUCUGGCGGUGAUACAAGAGGUUUAGAAUUUGAAUUCCAUUUCUCUUUCUUUUGGAAUAAUUGUUAUCAUUCGUCUUGUUUAUUAAAAAAAAAUUAUUUAUAAACACAGCGGAUCCAAAUAAGAAAUUGACUUAUUCAUAAUAGUUGAAAUAUUUAAAAACAACUUUAAAGAUAUAAAAAAAUAAUAUAUUGUAUGAUUAUAAUCACGGCUCACACGAAUAAUUUUCAUUAAAUACAAUUGAAUUUUUUUUUUAAUUUUAUAUA